rnacentral:rRNA from 1 species
GACAGAGGCCCCAAGCGUUAGGCGGAAUCACUGGGCGUAAAGCGCACGUAGGUGGGUCGUUAAGUCAGUGGUGAAAUCUCCGGGCUUAACCCGGAAACUGCCAUUGAUACUAUUUGUCUUGAAUACUGUGGAGGUCAGCGGAAUAUGUCAUGUAGCGGUGAAAUGCUUAGAUAUGACAUAGAACACCAAUUGCGAAGGCAGCUGGCUACACAAAUAUUGACACUGAGGCACGAAAGCGUGGGGAUCAAACAGG